rnacentral:rRNA from 1 species
UACGUAGGGGGCUAGCGUUGUCCGGAAUCAUUGGGCGUAAAGAGCGUGUAGGCGGCCCGGUAAGUCCGCUGUAAAAGUCAAAGGCUCAACCUUUGAAUGUCAGUGGAUACUGCCGGGCUAGAGUCCGGAAGAGGCGAGUGGAACUCCUGGUGUAGCGGUGGAAUGCGCAGAUAUCAGGAGGAACACCGGUGGCGAAGGCGGAUCUCUGGGCCUGUCCUGACGCUGAGGCGCGAAAGCUAGGGGAGCGAACAGG